ACAGUGCCAGCCCUGGAGCAUGAGGAGGGGAACACUGGCCCUGGAGGUGAGGAGGGGAGCAGAGUUUGGCCCUGGAGGGAGGCCAGGGCCGGGCCUGAGGGGAGAAGGGCCCGACCCUGCAGGCUGAGGAGGGGAUUGGGGCCCAGCUCUGGAAUGUCGUGAGGGGAGCAGGGCCUGGCCCUGAAGGACAGCAAUGGGAGCUGGGCCCAGGCCCUGGUGGGCAACUAGGGGAGUGGGGCCCAGGCCCUGGAGGACAAGGAGAGUGGGGCAGCCCUGCUGGGUGUCUAGUGCCACAACUGAAGGGAGCAGGGCCUGGCUCUGUAGGGCAUGGAGAGGAGAAGGAGCCCAGCCCUAGAGGGUUGCCAGGGCCCUGCCUGAGGGGAUCAUGGCCCUGGAGGGCAAGGAGGAGAGAGGGGCAUGUCACUGGAGCGUGGCCAGGGCCCUGCCUGUGCUCUGGAGCCUAUGUCCUGUGGCCUGUGACCUGUGUCCUGAAAUCUGUCCUGUGUCCUGUAGCCUGAGUCCUUUCGCCUGUGUUCUGUGUUGUGUAGCCUGUAUCUUGUAGCCUGUGUGUUGUGUUGUAGGCGUGUGUCCUGUGGCCUGUAUCCUGUGUCCUAUGUUCUACAGCCUGUGUCCUGUAGCCUGUGUCCUGUGUCCUGUUUUGUGGCUAGUGUGUGUGUCCUGUGGCUUCUGUCUUCUUUCCUAUAACUUGUGACCUAUAGCUUGUCCUAUAGAGUGUAGCUUGUGUGCUGUAGCCUGUGUCCUCUAUCCUGUGUCCUAUGUCCAUUAGCCUUUUCAUGUGGCCUGUGUCCUUGUCCUGUAGACAGUGUCCCAUUGCCUGUGUCCGAUAGCAUGUGUCCUAUAGCCUGUGUCCUUUGUCCUGUGUCCUGUGUCCACUGGCCUGUUUCUUUCUGCAUGUGUCCUGUGGCCUAUGUCCUGUGUCCAGUGUAGUGUUGCCUCUGUCCUAUAGCUGGUGUCCUGUGUCUUGUUCCCUCUGUCCUUUAGCCUGUGUCAUGUUGCCUGUGUCUUGUGUCCUGUAGCUUAUUUCCUGUGGCCCAUAUCCUGUGUCUUGUGUCCUGUAGCCUGUGUCUUAUGUCCUGUGUUCAGUGUCCUGUAGCCUUUGUAUUAUGUCUGAUAGUCUGUUUCCUUUGUCCUUUGUCCUAUAGGCUAUAUCCUAUCCUCUGUGUCCCAUGUCUUGUAUCCUCUGAUCUGUGUCCUGUAGCUGUGUCAUGUGUUCCAUAUUCUGUGUCCUGUAGCCUCAGUCCUGUGUCCCGUGUCCUAUGUUGUGUAGCCUGUGUCCAGUAUCUUGUAGCCUGUGGCCUAUGUAUGCAACCUGUGUCCUGUGGUCUGUGUCCUCUAGCUGGUGUCCUAUGUCCCCUAGCCUGUGUCCCGUGUAUUGAGCCUGUGUCCUGAGCCUGUGUCGAGUGUCCUGUAGUCUGUGUCCUGAGCCUGUGUCCUGUGUCCUAUAUCCUGUGGCCUGUAGUCUUUGUCCUAAAGCUGGUGUCUCUUUGUAGUAGCCUGUGUCCUGUGUCCUGAGCCUGUGUCGAGUGUCCUGUAGUCUGUGUCCUGUGCCUGUGUCCUGUGUCCUAUAGCCUGUGUCCUGUAGUCUUUGUCCUAAAGCUGGUGUCUCUUUAUAGUAGCUUAUAUCCUGUGUACUGAAGCUGGUUUCUUGUAGCCUGUGGACAAUGUCCUGUAGUCUGUGUCCUGUGUCCUGUAGCCUGUGCCCUGUGCUCUGGAUCCUAUGUCCUGUGGCCUGUGACCUGUGGCCUCUGUCUUGUGUCAUGUAGCCUGUGUCCUGUAGUCCGUGGCCUAUGUCCCAUAGCUGUGGCCUUUGUCCUGUGGCCGGUGUGCUGUAUGCUGUGGUGCAGGAUAUUGGAUAUGGCUACAGAACACAGGUUACAGGACACAGGACAGAGGCCACAGGUCACAGGCCACAGGCUACAGGAUUCAGGGCAUAGGCCAGAGGAAACAGGACACAGGAUAGAGGACACAGAAUACAGAACCAAGGACACAGGCUAGAAAUCAGGCUAUGGGACACAGGACACAGGCUACAUGACACAGAACACAGGACAUAAGAUAGAGGCUAUGGGACACAAGACACAGGACAUAGGCCACAGGACACAGGCUACAGCACAGAGGCCACAGGCUACAGGACACAGGACAUAGCCCAGAUAACACAGGACAAGGGAUAUAAGACACAGAAUAGCGAACACAGGACACAUGAUACAGGACACAGGUUACAGGCUCAGGACAUGGGCCAAAGGCUACAGGACACAGGUUACAGGCUACAGGAGACAGGACAAAGGCUAAAAAACAUAGGACACAGGACACAGGCUACAGGACAUAGGGACAGGCUACAGGACUCAGGACACAGGCUAUAUACAUAGGACACAGGUCACAGGACAGAGGCUCAGGACAGAGGCUAUGGGACACAGGACAGAACUACAGAUCAAAGGAUACAGGCCACAGGCUACAUGACACAGGAAUCAGGCUACACGACACAGGCUGAAGGAAAGAGGGAACAAGACACUGGACACUGGUUAUAGGAUAGAGUGUCCUGUAGCCUGUGUCCCAUAGCCAUUGUCCUGUGGCCUGUGGCCUGUGUCCUAGAUUGUGUAGCCUGUGUCCUGUGUCCUGUAGCCUCUGUCCUGUGUCCUGUAGCUUGUCGCCUAUGUCUUGUGUCCUGCAUCCUGUGUCCCGUAGCCUGUGUCCUCUAGGCUGUGUCCUGGUUCCAUAUUCUGUGUCCUAUAUCCUGUGUCUUGUGUCAUCUGGGCUAUGUCCUUUGUCCUGUAGCCUGUGUCCUCUGUCCUGUAGCCUUGGUCCUGUGUCCUGUAGCCUGUGGCCUCUGUCCUGUGACAUCACAGACUACUGGACACAAUACACAGGUUACAGGACCCAGAACACAGGACAUAAGACACAGGCUAUAGGACUCAAGACACAGGACAUAGGCCAAAGGACACAGGCUACAGCACAGAGACCACAGGCUACAGGACACAGGGCAUAGCCCAGAUGACACAGGACACAGGAUAUAGGACACAGAAUACCGAACACAGGACACAGGCUAUGGGACACAGGUUACAUGAUACAGGAUAUAGUCCACAAUACACAGGAAUUAGGCCACAGGCUACAGACCACAGGACAUAGCCCAGAUGACACAGGACACAGGAUAUAGGACACAGAAUUUUGAACACAGGACACAGGCUAUGGGAUUCAGGUUACAGGCUCCAGGAUAUAGUCCACAGGCUACAGGACACAGGUUACAGGCUACAGGAGACAGGACAAAGGCUAAACAAUAUAGGACACAGUCCACAGGCUAUAGGACACAGGGACAGGAUACAGGGCUCAGGAUACAGGACACAGGACCCAGGCUACAGGACACAGGACAAAGGCUAAAGGACGAGGACACUGGCUACAGGUCACAGGACUGAGCCUCAGUGUACAGCACACUGGCCACAGGACAAAGGGCACAGCUAUAGAAUAUAGGACACAGACUACAGAACACAGGACACAGGGUAGAGGACAUGGACACAGGCUGCAGCACACAGGCUACAGGAUACAGGCUACACAAGAUAGAACACAAGCUACAGCUUUCAGGGCAUAGGCCAGAGGGAUACAGGACACAGGAUACAGGACACAGAACACAGAACCCUGGACACAGGCUAGAACACAGGCUAAGGGACAUAGGUUACAUCUAGAGGCCACAGGAUUUAGAACACAGGAUACAAGACAUAGGACACAGGACACAGGACGCACGACAGAGGCUACAGGACACAGGACACAGGAUCCUCAAUGCAUACAUAGGCCAUAGGCUACAAGACAGAGGACGCAGGCUACAUGACACAGGAUGAAGGACACAGGAAACAAGACACAGGACACAGGUUAUAUGACAAAGGCCACAGGCCACAGGACAAAGGCUGCAUGGCAUAGUCCACAGGCUACAGGAGCCGGGCUACAGGACACAGGAUACACAACAAAGGAUACAGGACACAGAAUACAGGACACUGGUUAAGGAAUACAGACUACAAGCUACAGGACACAGGUUACAGGACACAGCAUACUUGAUACAGGACACAAGCUACAUGACACAGGCUGAAGGAAAGAGGAAACAAGACACAAGACACCAGCUAUAGGACAGAGGCCACAGGACACAGGACAAAGCCUGCAUGGAAAAGGCCAAAGGCUACAGGCUAUAGGCCACAGGACAUAGGCCAUAGAUUACAGGACACAGGCUACACAACAUAUGACAAACAUCACAGGAUACAGGCUACAGGACCUAGGCCCCAGAGCUCAGAGAACAGGCUACAGGACACAGGACACACACUACAGGACAUUGUCCACAGGCUACAAGAAAUGGGCUUCAGGACACAGGACACAGACUACAGCAAAGAGGACACCA